UGUUGGCCACCCUGCACAUAGCAGGGGGUUGGCACUGUUUGAGCAUUGUGGUCCUUUUCAACCCAGGCCGUUCUAUCAGUCUAUGAUGCUUACAGCCAGACAGCAGAUUAUUUUGCCCCCUCAUUGAACAGUUACCAAACAGAAGAGAGACACCGAGCAGUUUAUUUGACAUUGCUGCCGACCACAGUAUAAUACAACACAUGUGGAUAACUCUGGCCAAAGCAUACAGUCUGCACGGCUGUUUUACGCCAGAGGCAAACGACAUCCAGCAGCAGCUUAGUCAUCGUCCUUCAGCUUCUUGAUCUUGUGCUUGUGGCGCUCGAUCUCUUUCUGCAGCCGCUCGAUCUCCUUCUUGUGGUGAUCGAUCUCCUCCUCGUGGUGUCUCCUUAAGGCCGCCAGCUGCUCCCGCUCCUUCUCCCUGAAGUAGCGCUCCUCCUCGGCCGCCUGCUUCUUGCCGAAGGCCCCUCCGGCCUCGCGGAUGGAGCCGCCGCCACCGCCGCCCUUCCCGGCGCCUUUGCCCAGCUCGCCCAGCUGGUCGGCGCCCGAGCCCGAGCUCCACGCGCGCUGCUGCUGCUGCGCCAGGAGGGCCCCGCGCAGGCCGCCCCGCAGCGCCAACACGGCCGCCAUGUCCGCCUGCCCUUGGAGCGCCGCGCGGACGGGGCGCGAGGGGCGGGGCCGGCACCGCGCCCAACCCGGCUGAGCGGG
rnacentral:lncRNA from 1 species